UACUCAAGUGGUCAACGAGGACGCGCUGUAAACGCGUUGACUUCGGUCUACGCAGGUUCGAAUCCUGCCCGGCGCACCA
rnacentral:tRNA from 1 species